CGGAGCACGGGGGCACCUGGUGGCGAGUGGCGAACGGGUGAGUAACACAUCGGAACGUGUCCUUUGGUGGGGGAUAACCAGUCGAAAGACUGGCUAAUACCGCAUAAGCUCGGAAGAGGAAAGCAGGGGACCUGCAAGGGCCUUGCGCGAUUGGAGCGGCCGAUGUCCGAUUAGCUAGUUGGUAGGGUAAAGGCCUACCAAGGCGACGAUCGGUAGCAGGUCUGAGAGGAUGAUCAGCCACACUGGGACUGAGACACGGCCCAGACUCCUACGGGAGGCAGCAGUGGGGAAUUUUGGACAAUGGGGGCAACCCUGAUCCAGCCAUGCCGCGUGAGUGAAGAAGGCCUUCGGGUUGUAAAGCUCUUUCGGUGGGAACGAAACGGUGGAGGCUAAUAUCCUCCAUUAAUGACGGUACUCACAGAAGAAGCACCGGCUAACUACGUGCCAGCAGCCGCGGUAAUACGUAGGGUGCGAGCGUUAAUCGGAAUUACUGGGCGUAAAGCGUGCGCAGGCGGCUUACUAAGACAGGUGUCGAAAGCCCCGAGCUUUACUUGGGAAUGGGCGCUUGUGAUUGGUAGGCUGGAUGUGGCAGAAGGGAGGUGAAAUUCCAGUGUAAGCAGUGAAAUGCGUAGAGAUGUGAGGACACCGAUGGGCGAAGGCAAGCCUUCCUGGGGCCAGCACU
rnacentral:rRNA from 1 species